UUGGGGUAUUUAUUUUAUUGGCCGUUAAGUGAGAGUGAAGAAGUCAUUUCAUUAUCGUCCAUUAGGCUCUUCAAGGGCAAUAGAAUUUUCUUUUUCUUUGGCAAUGAGAUGUCAGCAUUUUUAUUCAUUGCUCACGUGAAUGUGAAUUUUUAGUGGGAAAUUUUGAUAGUCUGAAAAAAAAACUGAACCCAAAUCGAGGAGAACUGUCACGCACGGAUGGAGAAAUUGAAUUUGAAUAAAAGCGUCCAACAGGGUCGACCUUAUCAAGUACACGUGUUGUGCAAGGGUCUAACAUUGGGGAGAACCUGGCAAACCGAGGAGAACUAUCACGCACGGUUGGAGAAAUUGAGUUGAAUAAAAGCAUCCAACAGGUACAAAAUUCUAGUAUUCCAUCCUUGGAAUAUCAACCCUCUACGACGGAUGAGAUUUAUAUCCUGAGCCUUCAACCACGCGCCCAACCCUUUUUGAUAUGUGCACGGAGUACGUGGAGAGAUGUCCUUUUUUUUUAAUAUUUUUAUGCACUGAGAAAAAAUAUGUACAGAAGAGAAAAAAACAAGUCCAUGGAUUAUACGAGGAUCCAACAUCGGCGGAAAUCUCGGAAAAAGGAGGAGAACUAUCACGCACGGAUGGAAAAAUUGAGCUGAAUAAAAGCGUCCAACAGGUAUAAAAUUCUGGUAUUCCAUCCAUGGAAUAUCAACCCUCUACGACGGAUGAGAUUUAUGUCCUGAAUCUUCCACUACGAAUUCAACCAUUUUUCGUUGGUCUUCCAAGUUAAGUAGAGAGAUAUCCCAAUUUCGAAUGUCUUCGGGGACAUGUGGACACCUCUAAGUCAAUUUGGGACAUGUGGGAGCUUCAAUGGGAGAUACUUGAGAUGUAGAUGUCAAUGUUGGCAUGUCACAAUUUUUUUAACAUGUCUAAACUACGUUUUUUUCAAAUACUUGGGUUCGUUUGAGAAAAAGUGGGAGAGAAAAAAAUUUUAAUGAAGAGAGGGAGGUGGAGAUGAGUGAAAGCAUCCAACAGGUACAGAAUUCUACUACUCUACCCCUAAAAUAUUCCACUAUUACGACAGAUCAAAUUUAUUCUCUGCCCUAUCUACCAUAAUCCAACCCAUUUUGAUAGAUCUAGCAAGCGCAGGCAGCGAGUGGUUAACCACCGAUAUCGAAACUCCGUGAGACAAAUCCCAAAAACACAGCGGUGAGGAAAAGGGCAGAAGAGCCCUUGGCAACAGGUGAUCAGUGGGGGCAUCACGUAACUCCCCAGUCGUCGAGGGCAUACCGAAUUCAACCUGCAUGUCGAUUCUUGCCAAACUCCAUUUUAAGGCUUCAAGUUUGUUGUUUUUGCAAACUACAUUCUGUAAUUUUAUCACGACUUAACCAUUUGGUGAAGGAUACAGCCGCCCGGUGUGAGUCCUCCGGGGAGAGGGGGAGGCACAGCCGUGAGAUGAAUUUCCACAUAAUUUCCCGGUGGACAGAGAUGAUGUUGGAGGAUGAUAAAAGACUCUUGGAAAAUGCUGGAUAAACAAGGGCUGUACGAACAUUAAUUAUCAUAGUGUGCAAUUUAAAUUCAUGGAUGCAACGGUUAUUUGGUGAAAAUUUUCAGAUUGUAGGAAUUUUAAUUAUAUGCAAAUUUCGUUUGUGACCCUCUUUUAUAACCUUUUAUUACAAAAAUGCAGAGAGAGACUAAAUUCAUUUUUGGAAUUUGUUGACAUGAAAGGUUGCUAUUGAUUUCACUAAAAUUUCAUCACUUUAU